rnacentral:lncRNA from 13 species
CCCACAGAGCUGGCUCACCGAUUUUUGGCGCUCUUCCUUGCCUUUUUUUUGUGGCAUGCUCUGUGGCUGCUCUGGAGAAUGACUCUUCCCGAGUGUUUUCACCAGAACACUUGGGAAAGCAAUGCAGGGUGGUUCUAAGUGUCUCCGGGGUAUAAAGACCACAAUAAGGACUUCAGAAGACGAAUUCUGCAAGUUCAGCAUGACCAAGGAGGGAAGAGAGAAUGUCUCACUCUGUCACCCAGGCUGGAGUUCAGUGGUGCGAUGUUGGCUUACUGCAACCUCUGCCUCCCGGGUUUAAGAGAUUCUCCUGCUUCAGCCUCCUGAGUAGCUGGAUUGCAGGUGCGUACCACCAUGCCUGGCUAAUUUUUGUAUUUUUAGUAGAGGUGGGGUUUUACCACGUUGGCCAGGUUGAUCUCAAACUCCUGACCUUAGGUGAUCUGCCCAUCUCGGCCUCCCAAAGUGCUGGAAUUGCAGGUGUGAGCCACCAUGCUUGGCCCUUGGCCUUCUUCUUUUUUUUUUUUUUUAACCUCCAAAUGGAUAUUCUUUAGAAAUAAAUUCAGCUCAUUUCAGGGUGCA